GGGCCCGUAGCUCAGCUUGGCGGAGCGUCCGGCUGAUAACCGGAAGGUCGUGGGUUCAAAUCCCACCGGGCCCA
rnacentral:tRNA from 1 species